rnacentral:rRNA from 1 species
GACGAACCGUGCUAACGUUGUUCGGAAUCACUGGGCGUAAAGCGCACGCAGGCGGAUUGAUAAGUCAGGGGUGAAAUCCCGGGGCUCAACCUCGGAAUUGCCUUUGAUACUGUCUGUCUUGAGUCCGGGAGAGGUGAGUGGAAUUCCUAGUGUAGAGGUGAAAUUCGUAGAUAUUAGGAAGAACACCAGUGGCGAAGGCGGCUCACUGGCCCGGUACUGACGCUCAUGUGCGAAAGCGUGGGGAGCAAACAGG